AUGUGGAGAACUGUUGGGUGUGUCCUGGGCACGGAUCGAUGCCCAAAAAAUAUGUGGCAAUAUUUUGCCUGGUGCUAUAUGUUCAUCCCUGAUGGAGAAAAAUUCUAUACUUUUGGCCUGGCAGCUAUGUGCUGGGUCUUGUGAAACUGCCGUAACAAAUUGACAUUUGAAUACAAACAGAUGAGGUCUCCUUUUGAGGUUGUGUACUCAGCUUGCGGAUAUUUAAAUUACUGGGCAGGACUGAUGAAUGGAGCUGAUCGCGAGGCCAUGGAGCGUGGAGCCAAAAUGCUGAAGACCAGCGCGUCGACCCUGAUGCGUAUUUGUGCGGCGCCGGGGAAUGCAGAACAAGAUCGAUCCAGACAUGGAGGUCUUUUGCUACGUUCAGUCGUCCAUGUGCAUCGCUAG
rnacentral:rRNA from 1 species